AUCUUUCUAGUAUCAACUAGUACAAGUGACUUCCAAUCACUUAGUCUUGGUUAAACCCCAAGGAAAGAUA
rnacentral:tRNA from 1 species